UCGGCCGCGCCCAGGUCCUGCUCUUCCGCUUGGCGCGGUCCCUGGUACGAGCGGGCGGUUGCCGGGACUGGAGUUUGUCCCGGGCUCCUUGCCCUCGGGGCUCCCCGUGGAGGAGACGGCGCGCCCGGCUGCAGCCCCGGAUGCUUGCACCUCCCACUGGACGGCGACGGAGGCGCUGGCCGCGCGAGCGCAGGGGAGGUCGGCCCCCUCGGCCUGAGUGAGAGAGGAAGAGAGAGAAACAUCAAUGAUGAGAGCGAAUCACUGAUCACCUGCCUGCUGCACACCCCACACCGGAGGUCAAGCCCACAACCCGGGCACGUGCCCUGACCAGGAAUCGAACCUUAACCUGCGGAUUCAUAGGUGGACACUCAACCACUGAGCCACACCCUAGAGUAGCCCAGAAAAGUGCUGCUGGAAGUUAUUAUAUACUUCGGGAAGCUUGGGGUGAACAU